rnacentral:lncRNA from 1 species
AUGGGGCAGGCAGCUGGAAGGCUGCGCCUAGCAGUCAGAAUUCAGGAAAUUACAAACAGGCUCUCGAGGGUUUGGAGCAGGAGCUGGCAAGGAGGAAAACGCAUCCAGAAGAGAGACCCAUCGCCCUGCCGCCCGCCAGAUCAGCCCAUGGUAUCCAUCCGGGACCUCCUCUGCGGCAAUGCGGCCUGCCCCUUAUGCGCUCAAGCGGCCAAGGAGGUGGAGAAAAUGGUGCCUGUCUGGAAACUGAGCCCGAGCAUCCGCACCCGAGCAAAGUCGCCACUCCCCGCCGUUUCUCUGGUGGAUCGUGCCAGCUUGCUCGCUGCUUCUGCUUGGAAGGACUGGGCGGCCUUCCCACAAGGCCCCCGCAGGCCCAGCCCACCCCGAGACCGAGGAAGGGCCUCCUCCCCUCAGAAAGGCUCAACNCCUUCGAGCGGCAAGGAACUGGGAGAGAACCCACUGCACGCCGAUCGUCCCCACGCCCGGGCCACAUCCGGCAGGAAGGGAUCCCUCGAACGUUCCGACAAUAGCAGCGAACAUGAGGAGUGGGGGGGCAUCCCCAGCCCCCCUUUGAGCGCGUUGGAGCCUUCAUCGCUUAGCUCUGCAGACAGCGACCUCUCCUCCAGCCUGUCCGAGACCUCUGUCGGCAGCCAGGAAGAUGCCAGACCCUGGAGGAGGAGGAAGAGGAGGAGGAGGCGACACGACACCUUCCCUCACCGCCAGGAGGAGCAGAGAGACUCCUCUCCGCGUGGGACUGACCCGGUUCAGCAGGAUCAAGGGCCACGCCAAGGCUCCAUGUCUCCUUCUUUGGCCUCCGCCUUCCAGUCUGCCCCCCAAUGGCACGGCGGGCUGACCGGGGGGCCCUGCGGCUUCUCCUUGGAGACCAGGGCCGUCAGGAGGCNGCUUGAGCGACACCUGACGGAGAUGGCUCUCCACCGGCGCUGGCGUCUGCCGAGAAAAGCCCAGGAGGCCCUCAGGGGCAUGAAGCUGGCCUCCGGCCUCACGGCAGGCCAGCCCCUUCCCAGCUCUGAGGACAAAGGCGUCCCAGGAGGGGCAGGGGGCCCCCAUGUUUCCCGUANAACUGGGGACGUGACCCCCUCCUCUCCCUCUCCAUCCCAUCCCAGACCCCAGACGCCGGCGGGGAAGAAGUCGCCGGAUGCCGGGNGGGAGAGCCUUCCGGGGCCGACAGAGAGGGUCUCUGAGGGGAGGAGGCCGAUCCUGCCCAGGCCGAUCCCCAAGGGCCGGAACUGCUGCCAGCGGCGCACCGGGCCCAGCCUGGCCCUCUGCAGAAAAGCGGACCGCGUGGACAUGAGCAUCACGCGCAGGUCCCUCCAGCUGUCGUGGGGCCUCCCACCCCUCGACGCCCGGCCUCGGUCCGCGUUGGCGCCUGGCACUUUGCAGCCCGCCUCGGCUCGGUCCCCGGCGUGCGCGGCNGCGGAGCCUGGCCACGCGGGGCUGUCCUUCCUGCCUUCCGAUGCCCAGCAGGCCUUGGAAGCGCACGCCCUCAGCAAGAAGAUGCAGCACCAGUGGGGUCUCCCCAGACUGGUACUGCGCUCCGUGCAGCAGUUCACCUCGGGAGCGUCGCCAACACNGCUCGGCGCCCAGGCGGAAGCGAACGUCUCCCCUCUCUUCAUCUCGGAGAGCAAGAGGCAGCUGGACCAUCAUAUCAAGAGGAAGAUCAUGGAGAGGCAAUGGGGCCUCCCCCAAAGGGUGAGGAAGUCCCUGCAAGCGUUCAAGCCCCCCGUCCCGCCAUUGCCCGGGGAGACCUGGGGCGCCCUGGAGACCUCUGUGUCCGUCCGAGGGAAGAAGCUUCCGCAGAGGUCAACUCCUGUGGAGAGGCCGCGUUCACGGGGCUCUCCGGCUCUGCACAGGCUCGCGGCCAAAAAGGACCUCGAGAGCUGCCCGGAACUGGUCCGCCCCGCCUUGUUUCGGGCAGCAAAUCUCCACGUCGGAGGAUCUGGUCUUCCUAGAGUCGUCCCGCGGGGAGCAGCAACGCAGCAGCCUCGGCGCCCGGAGCCUCUGUUUGUGGAGCCGGCGGUCCUGCGCCGCGUGGAGCUCAACAUCGUCCACAAGGACCUGGCCCGCCGAGGGGGUCUGCCCACCCCCUAUCGCCAGUCCCUCGCCUGCCUGCUCCAGGGAGGCCCGUUCCCGGAGUCCUCUCCUCCAUCCCGCGAGGGCGCCGUGCCCGUCUUCGCCUCGGCAGCGAUUCCGUUCGUGGAGCCCGAGAGCCGCGAAGAGCUUGAGAGGCACGUGUUGAGAAAAAGGCUCCAGAGCACCUGGGGGCGGCCAGGCCCGGAGCAGCAGCGCCCCCGCGCCCCUUGUCCCGCCAUCCCUCGCGCGGGACAGCCUGGGCCUCUCGUGGCGACGGUCCCCGCGGCGGAACUCUCCUUCCUCGACGCCGCCGUCGUCCAAGAGCUGGAGAAGGCGUUGCGGAAAAGGGCCGUGCUCCACCGAUGGCGCGCGCCCGGCAGGCUCCUCGCCUCUCUCUCCGCGCUUCGCCCGGAGACGGACCUUCCCGCGGGGGCGCCGGAGCGCAGGACGCUGCGGGCCACGGAGAGUUCUCCCCCGUCUCAGCCUCAGCCGUGCCCGUCGCUGCCGCCCGAGGUCCUGAAGAAGAUGGCACGCCACCUGGGCAAGAGAGGCCUGGAGGUGAAGCUGGGAAGCUACCCGGCCGCGGUUAGACUCUCCCAGCGACGCGCCUCCCCGUCCUCCCUGGGGCGGCCCCUUCCCAAGCUGCUCCUCCCCGCCCAGCGGGCCCUGUCCCCGCGCAGGCCGCUCCUGCCCUUCCUGCGGCCAGAGGAUGCGGCCCGAAUAGAGCUGGACCAGAUACGCCGCGGCUUGGCAUCCUUCUGGGGGCUGGGCAGCCUUUGGCAGGGGGAGGCGCGGGGAGGAGCGGUGCCCAAACCCCCGCGGCAAAUCGCCGCGCCCAGAACGGCGCCUGCCUGCGCCUUCUCAGCAGCGGCGACGGAGUUCCUCGAGGAGCUGGGGAGAGAAGCCUUAGAGCUGCACGUCAGGAGGAAGCGGCUGGCGCACCAGUGGAGCAUCCCCGCCCUGGCCCGGAGGUCCAUGGCGGGCUUCAUGGGUGCGGCUCCCCCGCGGCUCUCCCUCCGCCCGGCAAAGGUGCGCGUCCAGGUGGCGCCGCAAGAGCUCUGGUGCCUUCCUGCCGCCGUCGCCGGCCGCCUGGAGGAACACGUCCGAAGCCUAAGGCGCCGACGGCAGUGGGGGCUGCCCGGGAGGCUUCUGCGGUCGCUGAAGUCCUUGGGCCCGCGCUACGAGGCAGCGCCCCCGCCAAGCCCGAGGGCACCUGCCGCGCGAGGACCCCUCCUGAAGCCGCUCCCGCUGGGGCGCCAACCGUUGCAGCCGCGCAGGAGCCUCCUGCCUUUCGCGCCCGCCGGCGUGAUCGGCCAGAUGGAGGUGGUCGUUCUGCGCCAACACCUGGCGGCCCGCUGGGGGCUGGGCGGGAGCCCCGUGGAGGCUGCUGAGGUGCCCAAGGCCAGGCUCCCGGGCAGCCGGCCGCGGUCCGGAGACCGUGAUGUGGCGUUCGCAGCGCAGCAGGCGCCGCUCCUGCCGGCCCAGAGCAGGGAGAGCUUAGAGCUGCACGUCGGGAGGAAGCGGCUUGAGCACGAGUGGGCCCGCCCAGGCCUCGUCCGGAAGACCUUGGCAGCCUUCCUGCAGGGGGCUCCCUCGCGCCCCACGGCCCCGCAGAAGCCUGUGGUCCACGUCCUUGUGCAAAGGCCGCCGCCUGCCUGCCUGCCGCAGCUUCCGUACAGCUCCCUGGAGUUCCACAUCCAGAGGAUGCAGCUGCAGCGGCAGUGGAGGCUCCCUGGGAGGGUCCUGGAAUCCGUGCGGCUGCUUUGCCCUGNGGCUGGGAGGUCGCCUGCUGGCCCAGAGCGAGGAGGCUGCAGCCACCCUGGAACUGGCGNGGAAACCCUUGCAGCCACAGCCAGCACCCCGCAGAAGGGGCCGCGUCUCUCUGGGCUCAGGCAGGAGAUCGCGGGCGAGAUGCGGCUGCACCUGGCCAGGAAGUGCGUGCAGGUGCGGCUGAACGCNAUGCCGGACGUCGCCCGCCUGUCUCGGGAAGAGACAUGGCUCUCCUUCAGACGCCGCCUGCCGCGGCUGAUUCCCCCGGGCUCUAUGCUGCAGCAGCCCCGUGGGGCUUCCUUGCUGUUCUUCCACGCAGCGGAGGCCGAGCGGAUUGAAAUGACGGUUCGGCGCUGGCGCCUGGUAUCCCUCUGGGACCUGGGCACACGCUAUGUGGAGGCUCUGAGGGGCAUGCUGUCCCGGUCGCGCGCGGAGGGCCUCGGAGCCAGGAGGACAGGCGUUGAAUUCUCAGGCGUGCAGACCCAGUUCCUCCGGGAGCAAGACAGGGAGGCUUUGGAAGGUCACGUCAGGAGGAAGAGGAUCCAUCGUGUGUUGGGCUACCCGGUUCUCACCCAGAGGUCUCUGGGGGCCUUCGUGCAAGCGCGCCCUCCGUUGCCCCCCUCUCCGAACUCCAGGAGCGCUGCCUGCGUCGUUCAAAGGAGCCGGCCGCCUUUCCUUCCCCGAAGCGCCUCCAGGCGCUUGGAGUUCCACGUGCAGAAGAUGAAGAUGCAGCGCCAGUGGGGCUUGCCUGGGAGGGUCCUCCACUCCCUCCGGUUGCUCNGCUUGGAAGGUGGGCAUGCGGGCAGAGCCUCCGGCCUGCGCCUCAGUCAGAUUUCAGUGGGGUUCCUCUCUGGGAGUGCCCUGCUCGAGGGGCUGGUAGGAGGUGCAUCCUCNGAGCACGACUCCGGAGGAAAGAAAGGGGCAUCGGAGGGCACCGGAGGUGACACUCAGGUGCUCCCUCUGAAGCCCAGGAGCUUGAAGAAGAUGCAGCUACACUUGGCUAGGAAGUCAGCAGAAGUCCAGCUUGGGGUCCUUCCAAGCCCUGCUGAAAUGUCCCACCGUCAAGAACCUUCCCGUUUAGGACAAGGCCUCCCCAGACUCAUCCCGCCUGGCUACGGGGCCCUGCAGCCUCGAAGCGUCUCCCUGGGGGUUGCAACCACAGAAGAUCUCGACCGGAUCGAGCUGACGACACGUCGCAAACCUUUUGCCUCUUUGUGGGGACUGGGCAGAGAGGGCGCAGGGAGCACUGCGGGGCCCGAGCCGCUGUUCCAGUUCUCCACGCACAGGUGGGCCGACGUCAGAUUCUUGCAGUCGGAGACGCCCUUCCUCCGCGAGGAAGACAGAGAAGCCCUGGAAUUACACGUUCAGCGGAAGAAGGUCCAGCGUACGUGGGGCUCCCCGCUCCUUGUGCAGAAGUCUCUGGCAGGCUUCAUGCACAAAGCUCCUUCACGGCCCAGGCAGCAGAUGUCAGGUGUUCCUCUCCACCUUCAGACAGGAGAACCCGCCUUCCUUCCACGUGCCACCCGGACGCAGCUGGAGCAGCACGUUCAGAGGUGGAAGCUGCAGAGGUGGUGGGGGCUGCCUGGGAAAGUCCAGAAGUCCCUGAAGAUCUUCUUGCCUUCAGCCCCUCCNGCGCAGGCUCCGUUUCCUCCAGGUGAAGAGUUUGCAGAGAGGGGCUUAGGCGACGGGGAAGGGCAAAUGGGCCAGGGGGCAAAAGGGACAGCCAGGGCUUUCUCCUCGGAGCACAAGUGGAGCAUGCAAAGCCACCUCCAAAAGAAGCUGCUUCAGCGCUCCCUGGGGGUGGACCCCCAGCUGGUAAGAGAGUCUCAGGAAAAGACCUCCGCCUUGGGAAGCGGGCACCUCCCAGAACUCCUCCCUGCUGGGCAGAAAUCCUCCCCAAAGAGAACCGAUGCCCCGUAUUUCCUGCCACCAGACAGCGCACACAUGCUGGAGCAGAACAUAAGGCGCAGGUGCCUGGCCCUGGCCCGGGAUGUGCCCAGCCGGUCUCAGGAGCUGUCGCCCGAGGCGUCCUCAGCCACUGCCGUUCCAGCUGCAAGUGGUCAGCAGAGCGUCGGCUUCCCUGCAGGGCCCCCCGCUUGUCUGCGGCAGGAGGAAGAGGAGCUGCUAGAGCGGCACCUCAGGCAGAAGCGGCUCCAGCAUCAGUGGGGGCUGCCGACUGCCGUUCAAAGAUGCCUUCGACCCUUUGCCUCUCCUCCGCUUCUGCCAGCCCCUUCUCUGCGGGCAGCCGGCCAGGAGUUGAGAAUCUGGGUCGAAGAACCCUCUUUCCUUCCCGCGGCGACCCGAGACCGCCUGGAAAAGAGCGUCAAGAGGAUGAACAUCCGCCAGCAGUGGGGGCUCCCAAAGAGAAUCCAGGGCGCCCUGAGCACCUUCCGUCCAGCUGUCCUGGCGUCCCGAGAAGAGCUGUCUUGCCAGGAGGAGCCAGGGCGUGUCCAGUGCACGGGAGAGAACGUUCCGACGCAUGGAGUAGAUUCUGCCCUNCCUGCUACCAGCCUGCCUCGGGAAACAGGGACCAAAAGAAAGGCAGCNGGGGCUUCUCCAGAAAAAGCCCCCCCCUCUCCCUCAAGACAAGGUCACCAGGCCUUUCCAAGGAGAAGUCAUCUGGAGGAGCAGCUCAGCAGCAAGNCGGUGGGACUUGAACGGCAGUCCGUAGAUGGCUUCAGGGCUACGCCUGCCGGCCCCCUCCCCAGGUCAGUCCCUCCUCUCAGUGAAGCAAGGCCCAGAAGCAUCUACUCAGCCUCCAUGGAGAUGGAAGAGUUGGAAAAGCUGGAGAUGAACAUCUUGCAGAAGCACCUGAAGAACCUCUGGCACAUACCACGUCAGGACACUGGCUGCCUGGANAGGAUAGACACGGGGGCCAUCCCCUCUCCAGGGGUAAACCANAUUGCCUCUGGGAAGAGCUCCAAGCCAACUGUCCUGGACGGAGACAAGGCAGGGGGGANGCCAGAGCCCAAAAGCUGCAAGGAGCAGUUGGAGAUAGUUGNCACCAUGGGUGAUAAAGUGGCUGAGCUUGCAGCUGCUCAGGAUCUUGUCUGGGACCAUCUGGAGCUCCAUGCUGUGUCCAAGGUGUCCUUUCAUGAGCGGGGCCCACAGGCCACACCGGAAACCUCAGGUGAGAUCNCAGAAGCUACUAAGGAAGCCAGUUCCUUGGAUGAUGAGAUGCUUACAAGGGGUGAAACGGAUCUUUCUGGAGAAAACUCAGAGGCCUGGGAGGAAAUGAACCGUGAGGGCGGAUGGGAUCUUGCAGAAAGCAGGAAUGGUGCUCAGACCCAGCAAGGGCCCGAAGAAGAAACUACCACAAGGGACCCUGCAGAGGAGCCUUGCGCUGCUGACCACAGUCCUCAGCAUCUGUCUUCCGAGAGUCCNCCGGCCACACAGGAAGUGAGCGUUGCCCAAGAGGCACCACCAGCUACCGAGGAGGUGGUCUUUGAUCUGGGAAGCCCAAACAUGGUAGCAGAACCGCUUGGACCGAGAGUGCAAACCAUGGAGGAAGUAAAUGUUGGAAGAAAAUCCCCAGGAAACGUUGUUGAUGAGACGCUGCUGAUAACAGAGGGUGCAGCCAUUCAGCGUGGAAGCUCACGGGAUCCCGAAAAUGACAGCGUGGCUUCUGGAAGCUCAGGGAGAUCCCUAGAAGUGACCGUUGCUUUUGAGGUCAUCUCAGCAGCAGCAGAGAUGGCACUAAUGGAAGGCAGAACUCCCGUUGCUGGAGGGCAUCGGCUUGGCGUGCAGGAGCCAAGAAAGAGGUCGCCAGAGGUGGAGGAAGCGGUCUGUGGCGGUGAAGGACCACAGUCUGCAGAGGAGGCACAGAUCCUGAGUGAGGAGGAGGUGAAUGCUGACGAUGGAAGUUCUUCAGGGGACGNGGAGGAGGAAGGCGGCCUUGCUGCAGGGCCGCCUUAUGCCACAAAGGGAGCGCGUUGUCCCUCUGAGAGCCCGCAGGCCCUGGAGGAGGCGAGCAGCCCUUGGCCACAGAGCCCCUCGAACGCGGAGGCCGCAGGGGUCGCUGCCGGAAGCCCACCAGCGGAAGAGAGAGGGAGCGACAGUGAUGUGGGCCGGUGGAGGCCAGCCACCAGCCCCGUCCAGGCAGAAGAGGAAGCGAACCCGGNGCCUAGGGGCCCCCAGGCGGCCGAAGUAGAGCCCGAUGCCAGUGAACCCUCGGAGGAACGGCGCAUCCUGGAUGAGGGCUCAGAGACUGCGGCGAAAGANAGCGUUGCUGCCGAGGGCUUGUCCCCCACAGCCUGUGCAGACCCUGAGAGGAGCUUGGUGAGGAGGAGAGACACAGUCCCGCCGGGAAGGAGCCCCCAGGGCGAAGGGCUGGGAAGGGCUCUGGAGACUCCUUGGACCGCCGCGAGCUUUGUGGCCCAAAGUCCCCAGAGCCUCUUGCUGAGCCAGCCAUCAGUGCCAGACGUGGAGGGUCCUGUGGCAGCCNCCCCCGGAAGGGAGUCCGUGACCCACAGACGGGACCUUUCUGAAGACGUCACGGUGCCCCUGAACACGUUUUGGCCCCCUUCAGAGCCGGGAUUUGGCGAGGGCAGUAUGCCGGCCAGGGCACUCGGAGACCAGUCCCCGGGGCAGGGAGAACUGGAAGGCUGCCCAGUCCUGCGGGAGAAACCACGAAUCUUGCGGACAGAGCUGUGGUUUCACGUGAAGUGCAGCGCGGGGGUUGGCUCUCAGGAGGCCACUAGAGAUCCCCCUUUCUCCGCUUCCCCGAAAUCCCAUUGCUCCGUGGCGACUCCAGAGGGCAGAGGCAGCCAGGAGAUUGACCCCGAAGGGAGGAGGCCAGGGGUGUUACGAGAGGAGCCGCAGCUGAGUUCCUCUUUGUACGUCUGCUCCCAGGAGAUGGCACCGGCCUGGGAUNCCAGAGCUCCAGGUGACGCUGGCAGUGCCCCGCCUUCCCCCCCUUCAUCUUGGCCCGCCCCCAGCGGACCUGACGGCCAGGUUCUCAACGCCUGGGCCCUCGGCUGCUCAGCCACCGGUGCGCCCCCGACUCCGAGCGCCUGCAUUGAACUGUUUCUCUGGGACAAAGAAGCGAUCGCCCAGCAGCUAGACCUCGGCCUCCGGAGAGUGGCCCAGAGCAGUCCCCGCCCGUUGGGACGGAAGGUAUCGCUGCCCACCGGGCUCCCCCAGGCUCCCUGCUCUCCCUGUGCCUGCCACUUGGACGUGUAUCAGCGAAGUGUGACAUUUGCGUGUGGAACAGAGCCAGGACCAUGGUGGUGGCAGCAGCACGAAGAGGCCCCCAACACGGGGGAGGGCAUGGGAAUGGACUUUGCCAUGUCUCCAGACGACAGUGAGACCCAGAAGGCGUCUGCCUGCAGCCCUGCCGAGAGCCCAGGGGACGUCGCUCUCCCGGAGCAUGCGGUCGUGCAGGAAGGUCUCCUUAAACCUUCUGAAGGAGCGGCAGGUGGCCUCUUGGGGACCCAGGCCCCUCAUAGAGAUUGGAACCCCUCGUUACCUGCCCUCUCCGUCACCUCCUCGCACUCCUCCUCUGAGCAUGCAGUGGGCAGGGAGGCAGUUGGGGCGCUUGGGGGGAACUCAGGCAGCCUUGGGCUGUUUGCUACGGAAAGGGAGGGGCUGUCCUUUGGGAGGCCGCACCUGGGAGCCUGUUUUGCAGGCAGGGANCAGGUGAGCGGGGCAAAAGCAUGUCCUGGCAUGCUAGAGGGCUGGACUGAGAGACCCCUGCCGGAGGCCAGCCCAGGCCUACGGCCACCGCCAUUCCUCCAGCUAAGCACGGGGCCCCUGGAGCUGCUGGACAACGAAGGCCUUCCAACAGCCGCAGAAGACGGCAGCUCCAAAGAAGGCACCAUCUCAGGAGAGCCCUCCCUGGGAUCUUCAGAUGCAGGCAGCGAGUUUCCAAGUCCCCCUUCCGACUGGUUGCGGUCAGAGACGGAGGCUGCAGAGAGCGAGGCUGGGGGCGGUGGCGGCAGCGGCGGCGGCAGCAUCUUGGCCUCAGAGGGCGACUCUUGGACCCAGGCCGACAGCUCCCCCAAGUGGCCCUCCUCACGGGAAGGAAACCAUGUCCAGUCCAGCACAGAAGCUGAGGGCGAGGUGGUGGGGGACCAGGACCAGGACCAGGACCAGGACCGGGACAGCCUCCUAGUCUGCAGCAGGAAAAGCCUUGCAAGUGGGCAGGAUAACGCUGCACAGGAUGGUGGGGAGAAGCCUGCGGUGAAAUCUUGUUCCGAGUUUGAGACCAGCCUGAGAUCCGGAGAAGGAAGAGUCAUCUUUGCCUCUGGCAAGGGCACCGACAUGGGUCUGUCCAUCAUUGGCUCGGUCCUGGAGAGGAAACUGGGCCUGCAAGAAGGGCUGUGUGUCUGGUUGGAAAGGCAGGACGGAUGGAGAGCUGUGUGGGCAAGAAAGAACUGGCAAGGGUUGCAUUCUGCAGAUUGUCCAGGGGAUGAGGACAACGUGGGGGGAGCUAAGGGGUCCAGGAUGGAUUCUGGUGGGCGUAAUGAGCCUGCUGUGGGAGGAGUCAUCGCGGAGAGGCUGAAGGACACCCCUUUUGUGGUCCAGGUUAUGGAAGAGGCUCAGCCACCCCUGGGAGCAGCCGUUCCCCAAACGUGGCAGCCUCCGGAGGGAAGCGUGGAGGCCCUUGGCCAUCCUGCUGGUUCCACGUACUCAGCNCCCCAACGGCCUCUUCUAGGGAGGUUCUCUGCAAGCUGCAGGGCACAGGGCACCAAGGAGUUGUGGGAUAGAUUGGACGGGGACAAGGGCAGGGUUGUAGGGGCUCGAGAGAAGCGGCAGGAAACACAAGGCUCAGGAAGCCCAGCGGAGAGGAGAGCGGACAGCAGGACGUGGACAUCUACUGGCUGGAGAAUGAGGUCCGGCAUCGGGGAAGGGAGGUGGGAGGAGAUGUCGCCCAAGGACAGAGAAGGCAGGCCAGCCAACGGAGAUGCCCAGGCGCCNGGCGGUGGGCAGCCGGGAUCUUCUGGCCUGCCGAGGGUGCCCCGUGUACAAGGGAAGAGGGGGGAAAGGCGUUCCACCGGUCAGGUGAGAUUUUCUGAGGACAAGGCGGAGCAGGAAGAGGUGACCCUUUUAGCCAGCGGACUGAACCGAACCCCCGCAAGGGGACCGUGUGCCCGUGGCGCCGCCUUAAAUGGAGGCAUUUUGAACCCGCAGCAUCUGGGCUCCCGAGGGACGGUAGCAACUGCAGGCACAGCACCCGCAGAUCGCAGAAGGGGGGCGCCCAAAGGGGCCAGUGACCCUGCACACGCAGCCCCCCCAGGCCAAGAGCCCCCGCUGCCCCCUAAGGACCAGUUCCGUAGUAUAAAAGAGAGGAUCCUUUUGAGGCGCAGGGAGCUGUGGAGCUCACCGGACAGCGAGGAUGGGGAUCCUGGGUAGGGGUUAUUUUUCGGGGGGGGGCGGGACAGGUUGUACAUAGUGUUAACGAAUAAAUGCUGGCGUGAGGAACGU